rnacentral:rRNA from 1 species
GACGAACGCUGGCGGCGUGCUUAACACAUGCAAGUCGAGCGGUAAGGCCCUUUCGGGGGUACACGAGCGGCGAACGGGUGAGUAACACGUGGGUGACCUGCCCUCAGCUCUGGGAUAAGCCUGGGAAACCGGGUCGUAAUACUGGAUAUGACUCCAUGACGCAUGUUGUGGGGUGGAAAGCCUUGUGCGGCUGAGGAUGGGCCCGCGGCCUAUCAGCUUGUUGGUGGGGUGAUGGCCUACCAAGGCGACGACGGGUAGCCGGCCUGAGAGGGCGACCGGCCACACUGGGACUGAGACACGGCCC